AUUGAACGCUGGCGGCAUGCUUUACACAUUCAAGUCGAACGAGUGGCGGACGGGUGAGUAAUGUCUUGGAACCUCCCCCAUAGUGGGUGAUAACUACUCGAAACGGUAGCUAAUACCGCAUACUAUUGGAGCUGCCCCUAUCGGAUUAGCUAGUUGGGGGGGUAAAGGCUGACCCAGUCGACGAUCAGUAGCUGGUCUGAGAGGAUGACCAGACACACUGGGACUGGGACACGGUCCAGACUCCUACGGGAGGCAGCAGUGGGGAAUAUGGGACAAUGGGCGCAAGCCUGAUGCAGCCAUGCCGCGUGUAUGAAGAGGGCCUUCGGGUUGUAAAGGACUUUCGGCAAGGAGGCGGUACGUGCAGAAGAAGCACCGGCUAACUCCGUGCCAGCAGCCGCGGUAAUAC
rnacentral:rRNA from 1 species